AGGAUGUGAGGGCUGUUCUGUCAUAUGCUCUUCUCUCCUCCAAAAGAGGCUAUAAAAUCCAUCCUCUUAUUGCCACUGCUUUCACCCUUGGUCCCGAUCAUCUACAGACUGAAACAAGACUAACCACAUAGUAAUCAAGUACCCAGGUUUCAUUUCGCUGUGUUCAUGGAUCACGUCGUCUUUCGUGGGUAUGAGGUCUUUGUAUUAAAACUAUGUGAUGUCUUACUUGCUUUUUAAUUGAUGCAACAGUUUCAUGCAGUAUAUCAUUGAGGAGGUAUGCUGACGUACAGCGUGUGUGUCGUUUAGUAUAUGACACGCCUUUUCUCAUCACCAUCGGUAUUCAUUCAAAUGUCAUAAAUCCAAUUUUAUUUAUAAAACACAUUUUUGAGUGCAGUACAUACAAUACAAAUCAACAAAUCAACUGUUUUCUUCCUACUGACUGUGUUUGGAUUGUCGACCAUGGUAAUAAUGGACUGACCGGCCAAUCUGCAGCGCCGCACCACCAGAUCAAUAAUGAAAGUAAAACUACUGGUGUCACAUGAUUGAUAGCGUUAUCUUUAUCUUUACUGUGUCUGCGGCCGUGACACAGAGACAAUAAAGUCAUAAGUUAAUAAACAGUUGUUUUUUUUGUUUUUUUAUUGUUUUUGUUUGAGAUCAUGAUUACUGAUGAUUAGUCACAGGUAAAAGGGAUUAAAUGUUUUUUUUUUUGCGGUGUGCUGUCAUUGAAUGAGAUUUUGACACAUUAGGUUGACAUUAUCAGCCUUAAAGUUCAAUUUUGAUCUGAUUUAACAGCUCACUUUCAUUUCUUUCUUGGGCCAUAACUUACAUCCCCAGAAAACACCACAGAAAACAGAUACAUGUUUUCACUGUUAAAAGAAUGAGAUCAUUUUGGAUGUUGAAAUUAUGUUUUUGUUUUAUGAACUGAGAUAAAUCUCUUGGUGAUUUACUUUUAAUUGAAAUAAGAUCCUGUUGCUUGUCACAUUGAGCAAUAAACAAUAAAUCCAAA